rnacentral:ncRNA from 1 species
GUGUGGCGUGAGAAGAGAGGGGGUUGGCACUCCCCCGGAGCCUGUAACACACGUACGCCUAAGACAUUGCCACCCACUUGGUGGCAUCUCUAAGUGUCUUUU